CCUACGGGAGGCAGCAGUGGGGAAUAUUGCACAAUGGGGGAAACCCUGAUGCAGCGACGCCGCGUGAGUGAAGAAGUAUUUCGGUAUGUAAAGCUCUAUCAGCAGGGAAGAAGUAAGACGGUACCUGACUAAGAAGCCUCGGCUAACUACGAGCCCGCAGCCGCGGGAAUACGUAGGGGGCAAUCGUUAUCCGGAUUUACUGGGUGUAAAGGGCGCGUAGACGGCUGUGCAAGUCUGAAGUGAAAGCUCAGGGCUCAACCCUGGGACUGCUUUGGAAACUGUGGAGCUAGAGUGCUGGAGAGGUAAGUGGAAUUCCUAGUGUAGCGGUGAAAUGCGUAGAUAUUAGGAGGAACACCAGUGGCGAAGGCGGCUUACUGGACAGUAACUGACGUUGAGGCUCGAAAGCGUGGGGAGCAAACAGGAUUAGAUACCCCGGUAGUC
rnacentral:rRNA from 1 species